rnacentral:rRNA from 1 species
AUUGAACGCUGGCGGCAGGCUUAACACAUGCAAGUCGAGCGGAGAUGAGGUGCUUGCACCUUAUCUUAGCGGCGGACGGGUGAGUAAUGCUUAGGAAUCUGCCUAUUAGUGGGGGACAACAUUCCGAAAGGAAUGCUAAUACCGCAUACGUCCUACGGGAGAAAGCAGGGGAUCUUCGGACCUUGCGCUAAUAGAUGAGCCUAAGUCGGAUUAGCUAGUUGGUGGGGUAAAGGCCUACCAAGGCGACGAUCUGUAGCGGGUCUGAGAGGAUGAUCCGCCACACUGGGACUGAGACACGGCCCAGACUCCUACGGGAGGCAGCAGUGGGGAAUAUUGGACAAUGGGGGGAACCCUGAUCCAGCCAUGCCGCGUGUGAAGAAGGCCUUAUGGUUGUAAAGCACUUUAAGCGAGGAGGAGGCUACUGAGACUAAUACUCUUGGAUAGUGGACGUUACUCGCAGAAUAAGCACCGGCUAACUCUGUGCCAGCAGCCGCAUAACAC